AUUGAACGCUGGCGGCAGGCUUAACACGUGCAAGUCGAGCGGGGUGAUGGUGCUUGCACUAUCACUUAGCGGCGGACGGGUGAGUAAUGCUUAGGAAUCUGCCUAUUUGUGGGGGACAACAUCUCGAAAGGGAUGCUAAUACCGCAUACGUCCUACGGGAGAAAGCAGGGGCUCACUUGUGACCUUGCGCUAAUAGAUGAGCCUAAGUCGGAUUAGCUAGUUGGUGGGGUAAAGGCCUACCAAGGCGACGAUCUGUAGCGGGUCUGAGAGGAUGAUCCGCCACACUGGGACUGAGACACGGCCCAGACUCCUACGGGAGGCAGCAGUGGGGAAUAUUGGACAAUGGGGGGAACCCUGAUCCAGCCAUGCCGCGUGUGUGAAGAAGGCCUUAUGGUUGUAAAGCACUUUAAGCGAGGAGGAGGCUCUUUUGGUUAAUACCCAAGAUGAGUGGACGUUACUCGCAGAAUAAGCACCGGCUAACUCUGUGCCAGCAGCCGCGGUAA
rnacentral:rRNA from 1 species